AGAAGCGCUAGGGAUAUCUCCCCUCCCCCGCUCCCUCUGUCUCCCUCUCUCCCUCCCCUCUCCCCUCUCCCAUGAGAGGACACAGCCAGAAGGAGACCGUCUGCAAGCCAAGGAGAGAAGCCUCACCAGCCAUGGAAUCUAUAGGCACCUUGAUGUUGGACUUCCAGCCUCCAGAGCUAUGGAAGCCAACCGUCGGGAGCACACACACCACAUUACAAGGAUCCCAGCCAGGCCCAGGAGGGGAAGCAAGGACACCCUAGAGGCAGAGAGAACUGGCAGGAUUUUUCAUGGGCCGAUCUGCUGAAUUCAGCCUAGGAGCUGAGACCAACAUCUGAGUCUCUUCAGCACACAAGUUUGAAAGAAGUCCUAGCAACUUCAAGCUCAGAACUACGGGUGGCAGCAGCUCCCUCUUGACGUCGAAGCCUCCCAUUCCAGAGAGAGUCAAGGCCUGGAUCAAACAAAGCCCACAAGCACCGAUGACUGAGCUGCUGACUACCCCCAGCAUCUCCAACUCAACCUCCUCUUUCUGCCUCUACCCAAAUUUUAAAACUUUCAAACAUGGGUUUAAAAAUGGUAAUGAGUAAAGUUGCAUCCAAGUGUAUCAAAUAAAACUAAAUAUCCAUAAA
rnacentral:lncRNA from 1 species